rnacentral:tRNA from 1 species
CCCUGGGAUAGCUCGGUUGGUAGAGCAUGAGACUCUAAAUCUCAGGGUUGUGGGUUCACGCCCCACACUGGGCA